GAUGAACGCUGGCGGCGUGCCUAAUACAUGCAAGUCGAGCGAACGGACGAGAAGCUUGCUUUUCUGAUGUUAGCGGUGGACGGGUGAGUAACACGUGGAUAACCUACCUAUAAGACUGGGAUAACUUCGGGAAACCGGAGCUAAUACCGGAUAAUAUUUUGAACCGCAUGGUUCAAAAGUGAAAGACGGUCUUGCUGUCACUUAUAGAUGGAUCCGCGCUGCAUUAGCUAGUUGGUAAGGUAACGGCUUACCAAGGCAACGAUGCAUAGCCGACCUGAGAGGGUGAUCGGCCACACUGGAACUGAGACACGGUCCAGACUCCUACGGGAGGCAGCAGUAGGGAAUCUUCCGCAAUGGGCGAAAGCCUGACGGAGCAACGCCGCGUGAGUGAUGAAGGCCUUCGGAUCGUAAAACUCUGUUAUUAGGGAAGAACAUAUGUGUAAGUAACUGUGCACAUCUGGACGGUACCAAAUCAGAAAGCCACGGCUAACUACGU
rnacentral:rRNA from 1 species